GGGUUGUGAGGUUAAGCGACUAAGCGUACACGGUGGAUGCCCUGGCAGUCAGAGGCGAUGAAGGGCGUGCUAAUCUGCGAUAAGCGCCGGUAAGGUGAUAUGAACCGUUAUAACCGGCGAUACCCGAAUGGGGAAACCCAGUGUGAUUCGUCACACUAUCAUUAACUGAAUCCAUAGGUUAAUGAGGCGAACCGGGGGAACUGAAACAUCUAAGUACCCCGAGGAAAAGAAAUCAACCGAGAUUCCCCCAGUAGCGGCGAGCGAACGGGGAGGAGCCCAGAGCCUGAAUCAGCAUGUGUGUUAGUGGAAGCGUCUGGAAAGGCGCGCGAUACAGGGUGACAGCCCCGUACACAAAAGCGCAUGUGUUGUGAGCUCGAUGAGUAGGGCGGGACACGUGAUAUCCUGUCUGAAUAUGGGGGGACCAUCCUCCAAGGCUAAAUACUCCUGACUGACCGAUAGUGAACCAGUACCGUGAGGGAAAGGCGAAAAGAACCCCGGCGAGGGGAGUGAAAAAGAACCUGAAACCGUGUACGUACAAGCAGUGGGAGCACCCUUCGGGGUGUGACUGCGUACCUUUUGUAUAAUGGGUCAGCGACUUAUAUUCUGUAGCAAGGUUAACCGAAUAGGGGAGCCGGAGGGAAACCGAGUCUUAACCGGGCGUUAAGUUGCAGGGUAUAGACCCGAAACCCGGUGAUCUAGCCAUGGGCAGGUUGAAGGUUGGGUAACACUAACUGGAGGACCGAACCGACUAAUGUUGAAAAAUUAGCGGAUGACCUGUGGCUGGGGGUGAAAGGCCAAUCAAACCGGGAGAUAGCUGGUUCUCCCCGAAAGCUAUUUAGGUAGCGCCUCGUGAAUUCAUCUCCGGGGGUAGAGCACUGUUUCGGCUAGGGGGCCAUCCCGGCUUACCAACCCGAUGCAAACUGCGAAUACCGGAGAAUGUUAUCACGGGAGACACACGGCGGGUGCUAACGUCCGUCGUGAAGAGGGAAACAACCCAGACCGCCAGCUAAGGUCCCAAAGUCAUGGUUAAGUGGGAAACGAUGUGGGAAGGCCCAGACAGCCAGGAUGUUGGCUUAGAAGCAGCCAUCAUUUAAAGAAAGCGUAAUAGCUCACUGGUCGAGUCGGCCUGCGCGGAAGAUGUAACGGGGCUAAACCAUGCACCGAAGCUGCGGCAGCGA
rnacentral:rRNA from 1 species